rnacentral:lncRNA from 1 species
UAUAAAAGAAUGACAAAUAAUGAUCCACAAAUAUAUUCAGCAUUCUACUUAUCUUUCCCCAAGAAGUACAUAGGCUGGAUUUCAGAAAUAACUUGGGAGUUGACAGACAAAAAAUUUUGAAGAACCAGCUGCCAUCUGUGUGAAGUACUUUGAGAAUGACAGAAAUGGGUGAGGAGGAAAGAGUGGACAUUUAAGAAUGCUUGCUAUGCAAACUAACACCACUGAACCACAAAAUGCCAUGGGGUGCCAGUUCUGAUGCAUUUUUAUGGUAUGCUAACUACCUUAUAACUGCAAGGUAUGCGGAGACCAAAGCCAAGGGGCUGUUUUCCUGAGGGAAUUUACCCUGAUUCGAAGAGAGAGCCUUCAUGAAGAUUUCCUGUCUGACCUCUUGAAUAGUCACAAAACUGAAGACUCGGAGGAGGAUCUUCAACAGAAUGGGAGACUCAUCAACAAGAAAGCUUCUCGGUAUAGAUCACAAAAACCACUUGACAAAGGCAGGUGGGUGAGAGAGGAAAAGUAAUUGAGCAGUGUAAUCUGUCUGUACAAUUCUAUCUGCUGGCAAGUAAGUUCUCCCUCAUAUUCCAGACAUUUCUGCACAUGUUUCACCUCCCCUACUGGAUUAGUAGCUCC